UGCAGCGGAGUCUCUGCUGAGAAGAGAGGGACAGCUUUUUUAUUUUUUCAAUUUCUUUAUAUUUAUUUUCUGUUAAAAUGUCACUCCAAAACAAUAGAAUACAUGUAGGCAUUGUAGGUGGAGGUGAACCACUAAAAAUGAAACACGAUACACACGGAUGAUACACCCCCUGUGAUAGAAGAAGCAAAAUCACAUGAGGAAGAAAAGAUUCAAAUUCCCUCACUGAAGGCAUCAGCCUGGAAAAGUCAUGACAGCGUGUCACCUUUUGCUCUUCCAUUACUGAAACGGCUUCCUCUGGGACCCCUCGAACAUGCAGAAACUCCAACAAAUCCGGCAUCUUCGUGUCUCCCCCCCUGCGGGGUGAGCGGCCGCGGCGUCCGCUCCUGCCUGCCCCAGCCAGCUCCCACACACCGGCCUGCCACCUGCGCAGCCACACCAGAGGGGACAGGAGAGACCCUGGCGCUGCUGCAGAGGAGCCAUGGACUGUGAUGACUCUGAGCAUCAUGUGAAUUACAAUAAAAUAUAUAUCUCUCGCCUUUCCUCUGA